AACGCACAUUGCACCCUCUGGUAUUCCGGAGGGUAUGCCUGUUUGAGUGUCAUGAAUACGUCAACACGGGCAAGUCUUUUUCACGGACUUGCGCCGCUGCUUGGAUGUUGAAGGGUCUGCUGGCAUUGCAACUUUAUGUUGUGUUUCAUGUCAGCUCCUUUUAAAUGCAUUAGCUGAGAGAGCGCUGCAAAAACCGGCUUCAGUUUGAUAAGAUUUGAACUGUGGUUGGGGAUUUUUGGGCCGAUACCUUUCUCUGGCUUCUAACUGUCCCGCGUACGGAAGGGACUGCCUCGCUCGGGGCAAUUCACAUGACAACUUGGCCUCAAAUCAGGUAGGAUUACCCGCUGAACUUAA
rnacentral:misc_RNA from 1 species